UACGGGGGGGGUAAGCGUUAUUCGGAAUCACUGGGCUUAAAGGGCGCGUAGGCGGGUUCUCAAGUCAGGGGUGAAAUCCCGCGGCUCAACCGUGGAAGUGCCUUUGAUACUGGGGACCUCGAGGGAGGUAGGGGCGUGCGGAACUUCCGGUGGAGCGGUGAAAUGCGUAGAUAUCGGAAGGAACACCGGUGGCGAAAGCGGCGCGCUGGACCUCUUCUGACGCUGAGGCGCGAAAGCCAGGGGAGCAAACGGG
rnacentral:rRNA from 1 species